ACGUAGGGGGCAAGCGUUAUCCGGAAUUAUUGGGCGUAAAGAGUGCGUAGGUGGUUUUUUAAGCGUGAGGUGAAAGGCAAUAGCUUAACUAUUGUAAGCCUUGCGAACUGGAAGACUUGAGUGCAGGAGAGGGAAGUGGAAUUCCGAGUGUAGCGGUGAAAUGCGUAGAUAUUAGGAGGAACACCGGUGGCGAAGGCGACUGCCUGGAUUGUUACUGACGCUGAGGCACGAAAGCGUGGGGAGCAAACAG
rnacentral:rRNA from 1 species